UACGGUAUCUCGAGGAAAACUCCCAUCGCGCGGAGUCUCUCUUCCCUAUCUUUCAUUCUUGCUGUUAUUGCCGCGUCGGGUACCCAGGAGUCGAAAAAUGUUCCCUGGAGGGGGCGGGGAAAGGGGGAGCCUUGGCGAGGUGUAGCUUCGGAGCGGCUCCCGCCGGCGCCACAGCCGCCGCCUCCUUUCCAAUUCACUCAAACAAACAAGAUGGCUGCCGUUACGCCGCGGCUCUUCCUGCCGCCCAAAUCCACGGUUCAAAUCGGCAGGAUGUUUACGGUCAAAAUGGUACCUGUGCGCCUGCGCAGCCGGCCUAAGACCCAGAAGGAGCGACGCAGGCGCAGCGACCAUUUCCUUUUCUUUGGAACCCGCCCACUGAGCGGGAGCUCGUCACUGAGCAUGCGCAAAGAUAAGUCCAAGGCUGUUGGAUUGUGGGCCACACUGAAGAACAAGGAGUUGAUGAAAAUAGAUUGCACCAUGGUUCUUCCAUUCAGUAACCCUGUGACCUUUGGAAGUUGUUCAACCUCUCCAAGGUUGUUUUAUCAUUUGUAA
rnacentral:lncRNA from 1 species